rnacentral:lncRNA from 1 species
AUGUGCCCGAACACGGAGCAGCGCGUCAGGGACACGCGUGUCAUUGCGUGUGACCGUGUGUGUAUGUGUGUGUGUGUGUGUGUGUGUGCCCUGAGACGGGGGAGAGCGGCGGGGACACGCGUGUCAUUGCGUGUGAACACACGUGUGUGUGAGAUCCACGUGUGCCCGGACAUGGGGCAGCACGUCAGGCACACGCGUGUCAUUGCGUGUGUGUGCAAUGUGUGCAUGGGUGUGACCCAUGUGUCCCCACACAUCCCAUGUCCCCAUGUGCGUGUCCCCACACAUCACCCCAUGUCCCCCCACGUCCCCAUGUCUGUCCCCAUGUGUCCCCACACAUUCCAUGUCCCCACACGUUCCCCCACAUCCCCAGCUGUGUCCCCAUGUGUCCCCACACAUCCCAUGGCCCCACACGUCCCCAUGUGUCCCCUUGUGUCUGUCCCCACGUGUCCCCACACAUCCCAUGUCCCCACGUGUCCCCUCCCAGCCCCACAUGUCCCCACGUGCCCCCAUGUCUGUGUCUGUGUCCCCACACAUCCCAUGUGUCCCCACGUGUCCCCACACAUCCCAUGGCCCCAGAUGUCCCGAUGUGUGUCCCAUGUGUCCGUCCCCAUGUCCGUCCCCAUGUCUGGCCCCACACAUCCCAUGUCCCCAUGUCCCCACGUGUGUCCCCACAGAUCCCACGUCCCCACCUGUCCCCUCCCAGCCCCACAUGUCCCCACGUGUCCCCAUGUCUGUGUCCCCAUGUCUGUCCCCACACAUCCCAUGUCCCCACGUGUCCCCUCCCAGCCCCACACAUCCCCACAUGUCCCCAUGCCUGUCCCCACACAGCCCCCCACAUCCCCACGUGUCCCCACAUCCCAUGGCCCCAGAUGUCCCCAUGUGUGUCCCAUGUGUCCGGCCCCAUGUCCGUCCCCAUGUCUGGCCCCACACAUCCCAUGUCCCCAUGUCCCCACGUGUGUCCCCACAGAUCCCAUGUCCGUCCCCACACAUCCCACGUCCCCACGUCUGUCCCCUCACAGCCCCACGUCCCCAUGCCUGUGUCCCCAUGUCUGUCCCCGCACGGUCACGUGUCCCC